rnacentral:rRNA from 1 species
GGUAUGGGAUGAGCUUGCGUCCGAUUAGCUAGUUGGCGGGGCAACGGCCCACCAAGGCGACGAUCGGUAGCCGGCCUGAGAGGGUGAUCGGCCACAUUGGGACUGAGAUACGGCCCAGACUCCUACGGGAGGCAGCAGUAGGGAAUAUUGCACAAUGGGGGGAACCCUGAUGCAGCAACACCACGUGUGGGAAGAAGCAUUUCGGUGUGUAAACCACUGUCGUGAGGGAAUAAGGCCUGUUCUAGGACAGGAUUGAAUGUACCUCGAAAGGAAGCGCCGGCAAACUUCGUGCCAGCAGCCGCGGUAAUACGAGGGGUGCAAGCGUUGUUCGGAAUCACUGGGCGUAAAGGGAGCGUAGGCGGAGAUUCAAGCGGAUUGUACAAUCCCGGGGCCCAACCCCGGACCUGCAGUCCGAACUGGAUCUCUUGGAUAGUUCAGGGGCAGGC